AGAGUUUGAUCAUGGCUCAGAUUGAACGCUGGCGGCAUGCCUUACACAUGCAAGUCGGACGGCAGCGCGGGGGCAACCCUGGCGGCGAGUGGCGAACGGGUGAGUAACACGUGAGUAACCUGCCCUUCACUUCGGGAUAACCUCGGGAAAUCGUGGCUAAUACCGGAUAUGAGCUCCUUCCGCAUGGUGGGGGUUGGAAAGAUUUAUCGGUGAGGGAUGGACUCGUGGCCUAUCAGCUUGUUGGUGGGGUAAUGGCCUACCAAGGCGACGACGGGUAGCCGGCCUGAGAGGGUGACCGGCCACACUGGGACUGAGACACGGCCCAGACUCCUACGGGAGGCAGCAGUGGGGAAUAUUGCACAAUGGGCGCAAGCCUGAUGCAGCGACGCCGCGUGAGGGAUGACGGCCUUCGGGUUGUAAACCUCUUUCAGUAGGGAAGAAGCCGCAAGGUGACGGUACCUGCAGAAGAAGCGCCGGCUAACUACGUGCCAGCAGCCGCGGUAAUUC
rnacentral:rRNA from 1 species